rnacentral:pre_miRNA from 1 species
GGUACAGAAAUACACCUUAUCUGGAACGGGUUUCGCUGGCUAACGUGUUGUGAGGAAAACGAAUAAAAAAAAACACACACACAUCCUAGCGCGCAUAGCGCAAAAUUUCAAUUCGUUGUCGACGAAACCUGCACUGGAGUUAGGUGAUCAGCAUCG